rnacentral:piRNA from 1 species
AAGCUAAACGGAGGAACAUGGACG